AUUUAGUGCUGUCUUCCCCUCCACUGCAAGGCCGGCCCAGGGAGCUACGGCAAAAGUGGUGUUAAAAGGGCGUUCACAACUUUAAAAGAUACAGAGCUGGGGGAUUUGGAUGUAGAUUUGCCACCGAUUUCACCCUCUGCAUUGCAAAGCAUUGAAUGCGCAGUGGAAAUCGGCAGCAGAAAUUGACAGGUUGCGGAUUUGAAAGCCACCCUAUCACGCUCAUUGCUGGUAGUUUAAGCCUCGCUUACUCUCUGUGUGGAUGUACCCUAAUGUAGCAGAGCAGCAGCAGACCAUGUGUAAAGUGAUGGAGGAGUCUUCUACU